CAUGUUUUUUUUUUUUUUUUUUUUUUUUUUUUUU
rnacentral:ribozyme from 1 species